rnacentral:sRNA from 1 species
UUUUAGUAGAGACGGAGUUUCACGUUGUUGGUCAGGCUGGUCUCAAACUCCUGACCUCAGGUGAUCCACCCGCCUUGGCCUCCCAAAGUGCUGGGAUUACAGGUGUGAGCCACCACGGCUGGUCAAAAUUUUUUUUUUUUUUUUUGUACUUUUUUGUAGAGGCGGGAUUUCGACAUGUUGCCCAGGCUGGUCUUGGAACUCCUGAGCUCAAGCUAUCCAUCCACCUGCCUCAGCCUCCCAUAGUGCUGGGACUACAGGCGGGAGCACAGGACCUAGCCCCUUCCUUUUCUUGUCUCUGUGAAUGAGGUUUGGAGCCUAGACAUUGAAGUAUAGAUAAUUGCAAAAAGGCUCUGUGUGCUCCGGGAUGGAGCAGGUGUGCAGAGGGUGAGAACCCAGCUCUGGGACCAAGUCACUUGCUUCCUUACUUAGCAAGACUAUCGACUUGAGCAAACUUGGGCCUGGGAUGAGGAUGUCUGUGGGCCUCUCGCUGCUGCUCCCCCUCUGGGGGAGGACCUUUCUCCUCCUGCUCUCUGUGGCUGUGGCUCAGUCCCACUGGCCCAGUGAA